GUGCUUGCUUCAGCAGCACAUACACUAAAAUUGGAAUGAGACAGAGAAGAUUAGCAUGGCCCCUGCACAAGGAUGACCCAUAAAUUUGUGAAGUGUUCCAUAUUUUU